CUGCCGGAGGACUUCAGGCGAACCAGAGAAGAAGGAAGUAGAUAUCGUGCAAUAUCAACAUCAAUGGUACAUCAAACUUUCCCAUAAUUCAAGCGCGUCAGAUAUACGACUGUAACGCAACGUUGUUGUCUUGCGAGCAAGAAGCACAAGGUCCUCAGUGAUGUAAGUCACGAACGGCCUUCAGUGGUCCCUAUCGUUACAAAAUUCGAGCGGACUCGAUCCGCUUCGCGUUAACUUCUAUGUCCGAUUAUUUAUGUGAUUUCGCGUGACCAUGUACACGUUGUAAUUUUCGAGGACAAAUGCAAACGAAAAAUGGUCAUUGUAUUAUUUUCAAAAAAGUAUCAAAAUUAUAUUCGUACGCCUUCAA